UACGUAGGGUCCGAGCGUUGUCCGGAAUUACUGGGCGUAAAGAGCUCGUAGGUGGUUUGUCGCGUUGUUCGUGAAAACUCACAGCUUAACUGUGGGCGUGCGGGCGAUACGGGCAGACUUGAGUACUGCAGGGGAGACUGGAAUUCCUGGUGUAGCGGUGAAAUGCGCAGAUAUCAGGAGGAAUACCGGUGGCGAAGGCGGCAUCCUGGACCGACAUUGACGCUGAUGAGCGAAAGCUAGGGGAGCAAACGGG
rnacentral:rRNA from 1 species